UGACCGGGUCCUGUGCAAUGGACGCCCGUGAACCAGGUCAGGACCGGAAGGUAGCAGCCUUCAUCGGCAUCGUUCGUGUGCCGCAGACCGCCUGGUCGCCAC
rnacentral:SRP_RNA from 1 species